AUUUGUUUAAAGGGCGGUGCCUUCACCCAUUCAGCCCAUAUAUAAGGCGGUGGGAGAGAGAUGUAUGGACUGACAACGGUGGAUUGUGGUGAUGGAGGAACCGCCACUGCUAAAGACCGUCUUGUCUAAUCGGCGACUAUUCGAGCUUCGUCUUUCUCUGCGUCUCAUCGAUUUCCUCGGCCAAGCGACUCUUCAGUGGAGGCCCGCUGUUGCCGGCGGCCAUUUGAGGCCGUUUUCUGGUGGCGGCGGCUGUUCCAAGGAGGCCCGUUGUUGCCGACGGCCAUUAGAGCCCGUUUCUGGCAGCGACACGACAACCUUCAUAUUUCUCCAUGGGUUGAUAUUGUUCUGUUGCUGCUUCAAGUUCGAAUAGGAGUUAUUUUCCCUGUCUAUGAAGUUGAUUCAGGCGUUGUAGAGGAUAUUUUAGGUUGUGAUUCAACUUACAUUUAGUUAGCGAGUAAUCCGACAAGUCAUACUCUCCAUUGAAUCCAUAGUUGCUACGUACAAUGUAAUUAAUCAGGCGUUGCUUGGCGAGAUCCAAAGAGUAUCCUCGAGGGAAGGGAGGGCUGCCAUUAAACUUCAUUUAUAAUGGGUUUUUCAACAGUAAGUUCAUUGGUUUCAAUGAAAUUAUAUAUUUAUAUGUGUAUUUUUUGAGAUUGUGUUUGCUUUGUAUGUUUAUAUCUUAUUCUACUUUUAUAAGGCGCCAGAUUAGGUUCUGGUCUGAAAAGGCGUGGAUUCAACUCCCAGUCUCAGUAAAUUGUUUAUACAGCUUUUUUAGGGCGAAAUAGACUGUUUCUGUACAGUUGUUACACCUAUGUACUGUCAAGAUUUUGUGAUGUUCAGCCACAAGGGUUACUCAUAAAUUAUCUAAUGUUUAUAUUUGUUUAAUAUUUGGAAGCAUUGGGAUCCAAGGAUUAACAGUUUGACCACCUUUGAUAAAGUGGAUGACGAAAAUGAUCUCACAAACGAUUUGGGUUGCGGUCAUUAAAAGCUAACGGAAAAGAGGUUUCUGUAUGGGGCUUUUCUUUACUAUCACUAUGAAAUGAUGGGUGACGUUAACAUGUCGAACUUACGGUUAGAAGUCAUGAGAAUCAGUUGGUGAUUCCACACCAGAAUUCUACAAUGUCAUCCUCUUCUUUGGUGUAAUAGACAUAUUACAAGAUUAUGACAUCAGCAAGAAAGCUUGAGCACACCUAUAAGGCAUUCUAAUACAACCGGGCUUCCAUUUCGCUCGCAUGCAUACAAAAACUUCAGAAGCAGCAAAUGCCACAAAGGGAAAUCGACUUCAAGGGUCAAUGCAAAAGUCCUUUUGCUUCUAGGUAUGUAUGUGGACAUGUAAUCUUUUGGGUCCAGUUCCUAAAUAUGUAAUAUUUUAGUUCCUAAAUAUGUAAUAUAUUUGGUCAACUGGAACAUUUUCUCCAAUUCAACACAGAUUGUGUGUAUGUACAUUGUAUAAAGUCUAACUCACACAUAUUAGAGAGUCGAAUACAUCAUAUACGGAA